rnacentral:rRNA from 1 species
GUGCCAGCCGCCGCGGUAAGACAGAGGGGGCCAGCGUUGUCCGGAGUUACUGGGCGUAAAGCGCACGCAGGCGGUGGCUUAAGUGUCGUGUGAAAGCUCCCGGCUCAACCGGGAGAGGCCAUGGCAGACUGGGCUACUAGAGCGCCGGAGAGGUCUCUCGAAUUGCUGGUGUAGUGGUGAAAUGCGUAGAGAUCAGCAGGAAGACCAAGGGGGAAGCCAGGAGACUGGCCGGCAGCUGACGCUGAGGUGCGACGGCGUGGGGAGCAAACCGGAUUAGAUACCCGCGUAGUCC